AGCGAUGCGCAGACAUCUUUGUUGUGGGCGAAACGAGGUGACCGCAGAGUCUGUCACCCAGGUUGGAGUGCGGUGGUGUGAUCUUGGCUCCCUGCAACCUCCACCUCCCAGGUUCAAGCGAUUCUCCUGCCUCAGCCUCCCAAGUAGCUGCGAUUACAGGCACCCACCACCAUGAAGAAUGGCAUUUUUAAAAGAUGGCUUUCUUAAAAAAGGAUACUCAGUUGCUCUUCUACUCAUACCAAGUCCUGCAGACACAUUCUGGGACUGCACCUUAUGAGUGCUGCUCACUCUGUUUCCUGCAGAAGACAUACAGAGCCGUUCGCAUAGAGGGCCAUGAUUUUGAUUCAGCAAUUCUUCAAACCACUGAUGCUGGUUGACCAUUUGACUUUGUUUUUGAAGUAUUUUUUACAUACAGUGUACAGAACAUUUCCGCUGGAUAUUUGGAUACUGAACAGGAGUAACAAGAGGAACAGCUCCUACCUCCCCCCUGCCCCUUCCCUCACAAGCCUGUGAGUCAGGGCAGGGGCAGCCACUGAAAGUAGCAGAGGCCUUCAUAAAGGAGAAGUUGUCAGGUAGACCUUUGGAUUAACUCCCCAAAAGCAGCCCCCUAGGAGACAGGCGACAGCACCGCAGUCAGGGGAUGCAGGCGUGGAGGCACUUCUCCAUGUUGCCAUCAUGUGAAGAAGGACAUGUUUGCUUCUGCUUCUGCCACGAGUGUUGAAGGCAAUGGUGAUGAAAGUAAAUAUUUAAAAACACUACCAUAGCUGUCCCAAAUUUCAGAAAAACAAGGUACCACUGGAACCAUUUAAUUUUGUUGGAACACAGAAUGACCAUCUUGUGAUCAGUUUUCUGCAUCUUUAAAAUACCUGGAAGGUCAUCUUUAAAUAGUACAAUCUGAUAAAAGUUUAAUACUUAGUGUAGACUUAUAUGAAUACUUCUACAUUCAUACAUUUUUGUAUACUUAUACAUUUUCAUACUCAAUUAAUGCUUAAUUCAAAAAAUAUCUGAGUACCUGCAGUGUUCCCCAUGCUACAUACUGGGCUUAAACAGCCAAAAAGACACAGUCUUUGACCUCAAAAUACUUUGAUUCUUGUAAGAAAAACUGACAAAGACAAAGAGAAGGCAAUGUGAAAACUUCUACAGUUGGGAUAACCUUGGAGGUUACAGGAUGUGGACUCACUGAAAGCUUUCUGCUGGACUUGAACUUGAAGCUGAAGUCUGAAGGACAGAUGGGUGUUGCUUAGCGAAGGGAAAGUAGGAAGCAAAGACCCCUGGACAGAGUGUAGCAGGCACAGAGGGAGCAUGACACCUUCGGGAGAGAGCCGCAAGCACCUGGGCCCAGAUCCCAGCUUUAGCUUCAUUAGCCCUGUGAACUCUGUAUGUCAGCCUUGACAUAGAAAAAAAGAGGAUACUAAACCUCCAUCUUAAAAGAGACUUGGAAGAAGCUGGGAUUAUAGGCACACCACCACACCUGGCCCCAGAAAAGGGAAUCCUUGACCUGCAAGAAUCGAGGAAUAUUGUUUCUGACAUGCUCAGUGGACCUACUGCUGGUGUUCUUAACCAUUUCCUUCCUAAGUGGAACUUCUUUUGAGGUUAAUGUUUAUAUACAAUUACUUUAACAUUGGAUUUGGGAAAUGGAACAACAUACUGCGGAUCUUUCUGCUACCGAUGAAAGAAGAAGCCAGCAUGCUCGUUCCUGUGCAUGCUGGUGAAACAGACGUGGCCUGCCCUGCCUUUCUCCAAUCUCUCUCCCGCAGCCCAGCCCAGCCCAGCCUGGUUUAAUAGCAGGGGGAGUUGGCACCGUUCACAGCUGGUUAACACCCUACUGAGCAGGUUUUGAAUGCAGAAAGACUGAGAAAACUUCACUAUUCAUGUAAGAAAAAUAGGCUCCACGGGAUCCCUUGAUCAGGAUGGUGGUAGAGGAAAUGAACUUCCAUCAGCACUGUAAUGAUCUCAGCCUUCUCCACCACCCCACGAAGUUUCUCAUAGCAAGCCACAUCUUACUCAUCUCUACAUUCCUAGGAGGGGGGACAAGUUCACAGUGUUGGGGAGAGGAAAGUGUCCUCUUAGCUGCCUCCCAUGACUUCAGGGGCCCAUUUGAUGAUAAUAGGACACUCUCUGGACAAAGCCUGCAGAUGGAUUUGAUCAAGCAAGAGAGCUGAGGAUGAAUGCGAAAAAAAAAAAAGUGGUCCUGAUGGCUCCUUGACCAUGAAAUAAAGGUCAUCAAUGAGGGAAGACAGGAGACUCCAGGAGCACAGAGACAGUGACAAAGCAAUGGAUAAAGGAAUUGUGGGUACCAGUGAGAUGGAAGGAUUAUGGGAUUUGGAGUCCUAGGGACAAAGAUGGAAAGACUGGAGGGUGCUUGGAGAGGAACUGUGAUUGGUGAUGUCAAGAUCAAGAGUACUGUCUUACAGGGGAACCAGUGACAGAGGUCAAGAAGAAGAUGAGACCACUGCAAUGGUAAUUUCAUGACAUGUACAGGUGUUGAUAAUUCCUUUGUGCUGGACAAGGUAAAACAAAGAGGGGUGAUGACUUUGAAAUGUUCUUAAUAAAAAAUUCCAGCAAUAA
rnacentral:lncRNA from 10 species